UACAGAGGUCUCAAGCGUUGUUCGGAUUCAUUGGGCGUAAAGGGCGCGUAGGCGGCGCGGCAAGUCGGGUAUGAAAUCUCGGGGCUUAACUCCGAAACUGCAUUCGAUACUGCCGUGCUUGAGGACUGGAGAGGAGACUGGAAUUUACGGUGUAGCGGUGAAAUGCGUAGAUAUCGUAAGGAAGACCAGUGGCGAAGGCGGGUCUCUGGACAGUUCCUGACGCUGAGACACGAAGGCCAGGGGAGCAAACGGG
rnacentral:rRNA from 1 species